UUCCUCUCGGGGGCGCUCUGGAUGGCCAUGGCGAUUAGCGCCGAGUAGGAGUAGGGCGGCCGCACCAGCUUCAGCAGCUCCUCCUGGCUGGCCAGGCUCAGCCAGCUCAGCUCCGCGCCGCCCGCCGACGGCGAGCCGGGCGCCGAGGGGGAGCCCACCAGCUGCCCGCCCCGCGAACAGCCGUACGAGGCCGGCGGCAGGAAGGGCGCGGCGGCGGCGGCGGCGGCGGAGCCGGGCGGGCCUUGCAGCUCUGCAUAUCCUUGGAGAAGGGUUGCACUGGAAAAUACUGUUUCGAAGUCUGACCCGACAACAUCUAAAACAAGCAGUUUACAGGGAAAUCACAGCUAGAAAGAGCAUCUAAAGGACAAGAAGCAGGAACAUUGCAGGAGGGAGAGGAGCCGUCAAGUGGUAUCGCUGUAUGGUUGAAAAUGGCAAUUUUUGCUUCAGGGAUUUGACGUAUUUGGGCAAAGGCAGAGCCAUCUAGAGGAACAGCCCGGCUAUGACUAGGCGGGGAAGGCAGUUUCCCUCAGAGGCAUGCUAUGCUGCCUUCGAAUUUUCUUUAGUUGAUUUCUCUGCUUCCAACAAAGGAAAUGGGUGAGAAAAUAAUGCUGAAUUAGCUUUAAUAAAAAUGCGUGUCCUCAGAAAGCUCCAGCUUGCUUUACCAAAUAGUAAGGAAUGUGAAACAAAAACAGCUUCAGAGAGGUUAUUACAUAGCUGGGAUGGCACGGAUAUGCAAACCAACACUUAAUUUAAAGAGUGGAGAGAAUAACGCUUUGAUGGUGUGAUGGCUGUAAAAAUGUUUAAUUUUCUUAAUGCGUUUAUCCUGCAAGUAGCGUGCAGUGUUGCCUUGAAACGUCAGCGCUCAGGACAAACCUGCUGCUGUUCCCUUCUGCGAAGGCACGUGGAGAGCAGCAUGAACAGCUUCGGCACUCUGCCGCUCUGCUUUCUAAAUGCUGCUUUCUUCCAGAGAGGUCUGGGAGACAUUUGCCUUUCAGAAGCGCACCAAGAAGCUGGCAAGCGAGGUUCUGCAACGCAAAGCUGAAAUCAGUUUCGAGGGCUGGCAAGAGGCAAGGCAGUAACUCUAUGGCCCACAUACAAUCUGCAGAUGAAGAAUUCUUCUAUAUCUUUCUCCAGAGUAAUGAAUUAAAUUGGGAAUGAGUUCUUCAUCUUCAGGGACAAGAUGGGAGAAGUAUCUUUUCCUUGCAGCAGCCCAGUACUGUGGUUCCACUCUCAAGAAUAUCAAGGAAUUGACUAAGAAGAGUUCGAAUUAAAUUUAAGCUCUAGUACCAUUCCUUUAUUUACCCCUUAGCCUAUUCCCUUCUAGACUGGGUACUUUACACUUAUUAAUAUGCUCUAAGAAAGUCUCUUUUUUCACUCAACAUCUGAUUUAUCCUGAAAAUAGGUAACAGAGAUUAUUUUAUGGUGUGCAGUAUAUGUUUCACUGCCUUGAUUUUGGAAGGGUGUUCUGUGUACGUGUAUACAGGUUGAAGCAAUUUUUAUCCCUUACCUAAGGAGAAUAAUGUAUAUUCCGCCCUCCCUGUAUCUAGUCAUCUAUUGGACUGAAGUUCUGGUGCUCCAAUUUUGCCAACUUACCUUAUGAUAAGAUCAGAGGUUUUCAAAUCUUUCUUGAUUUUUCAGACCCUACAACAUUUCCUGGGGAGGUGUCCUCAUUCCAUGAUUUUCAGGUUACCGACAACAAUCUUGGCUUGGUUUUGUUUCUAGUUCAUGGUCUCCAUAAAAACACUGCAGGCUGCAGACUGAGGGUUAGCGUUUUGGAACAGCAAAUAUUUUCCUGGUGCGUUUAUAUGGUGCUGAGCAUGAUGGAGCCCCCGGACUCUGCCACAAAGCAAGGAAUAAAUCAUAGUUUAUCGCAAGCCGUAGUUACUCCAGCACUUUACGCUGUCGUGAGCGCACACCGUUGCUGAAAGAAGCAGUUCUGCUCUGUGUCCACUCCUGGCUGCUUUUUCUGGCUGAUGUGCUCGCACAAGUGUUUCUGUGGUUGUGGACUAGGGCACUGAUCCAGCUCUAAAGGAACACCCUCUCCCCAAUCCUUUUUUUUUUUUUUUUUUUCUCUCCUUUUUUUACCCCCUCAGGUUAGUUUUAGCCUGGGCCUGCCUAGCCGCUUCCUGAAUGAGAGCUUGUUAGCGACUGAUUAGCCAAAGUUUUGAUAAAAGCUUCAUUGUUUGUAACCUCUGUAACCUACCCGGAGCUGUGCUCCUAAUAAAAGUGGGAUUAAAUAGACACCUUGGGAGUGAGACAGUUGCAAGUGGGAAUUUCAGAGUUUUGGGGGCCAAAGGGAUACGGCCGGGCUUCGGUAGCUCUGCAUGUCAGAAGCGGUUUAACCAGAACUGGGAAAGAAGGCUGACUUUUGGGUUUUGGCGGGGGAAGAGGAGCCUGGUGGGAGACAGAAGGAAGUCAACUGUUCACGGGUGGAUUAAGCACACGCUCCAGGUGUUUGGAAGCACGUUUGCAGAAGCUCUCAGAGCCCUGCAUUCCUCCUGCCUCUCCUCGGGCUUAAGAUUCAUAAAAAGCAUUUAAAAAACACCGCUCUGAUCCUACAAAUUUAAUCCUCAUUUUAUUUUUCCAACAGUAAAAAAAUCCACCUGACAAUGAGGUGUGACUAACUUGAUACCAUCAGAUAGUGUCUUUUCUGGGAGGAGUGUUAAGCUGGGAGCUUCACCCCUCCUGCUUAAAGCUAGAAGCUGACCUGGGCUGAAAUAAAGCAACAUCUUUGUGCUUUUCAUAAGUUUUUGAUGUGUAAUGGGGUAUUUGAAAUGGAGCUCGGUGCUCUGGGCUGGUUGCCCUAUAGUGAGCGCUCCUAUAGAAUAAGCUAAAGGCCAAUAUCUUUUGCUCUUAAUUCAUCUGAAGAGGCAACCUCUGCGCUGGAAUGAGUAAUGGAAGUAGAAAAACAUAAAGAUAAAUUUAUGGUCAGCUAAGGUAAAAAUAAUCGAAACUAUUAGUAGAUAGAGGCAGUAGCGGCCAUCACCACCACCGCAAGGAAACAGAGAGAAUGUCUGGGGGAGAAAAUCAGAUAACAUAUUAGUAUGAGGUGCUGGUGAAACAGCAUUUUGGGCUCCAUUAAUAACUAGGGAUUAUGUUAAGUAGCAACCACAUAAAUCAAAUAUUUUAUAGUCAGCCAGUCCCGGUAAUUCCAGCCAAGAGCUUCAGAACUCUUGGAACCAGGAACGUAUCGUGUGGGCCAUUAAUGCUGAGUUUUCAUUUUAGGACACUAGAAAGAUUUUAGAGGACUAAGAAAGCUGAUACUGGCUCAUCAUUUAAAAGGAUUGGGCAAAUGAUUUGGGCAAUGCUAAGACUGUCAGUCUGUCACUGUUAAAGGCAAGAAAUAGCGGGCUCAUCACGAGAUUAAUGAAUUCUUAAAGGAAGGCAAUGAAGUUGAUGCAAACGAGUGUGCGUAUAUAGAACAUUGGCAAAUCAAUUUGCUGUCGUUCUCCAGUAAGAGCGAGCGACUCUUGAUGCAACUGAUUUCUGAAAGUGUUUGGUUAAGACCGUGUUGGAGGUGGAUUUUUAAAAAAAGGUAUAAAAUCAACAUGGUGCAAAUUAAGUGGAUCUAACUGGUUAAACAGAGAUCUCCGAAUGCCACAGUGAAAAAUGAAUCCUUGAGUCUCUUUGCAGGGAAGUCCUGUGGAAACUGGUUCAUUAUUCUGUUUCUGUCAUUGAUUUGGGAGAAAAUAAAGAAUCAUUGUAGACCAAAUGUGUAGGAGGCUAAAACUGGGGUUACGGAGUGUUAAAUAAUGAAGAGGACGUUCACUGACACACAGCUACCUCGAUCUCUGCGCGGCAGCUGGGAGCAAAUGGGCAGAGCGUAUUUCGACAUGGAGAAGCAAAAGGACACAUUUAGGAACAAAGUCUGAGACUGCUGAGUGAUGCAGUCCGUCCUGGAAAUUAAUUUUUUUUUUUUGAAAGUUGUUGGGGUUCUUGUCAAUAGUUGUCUGCUCCUUGUUGUGAUCUUGGGGUGAAUGAGGCAUAGGAAUAAAGAACGAUUUUAAGGGUCUUUUCUAACCUACAUGUUUCUAUGAAUUGUUAUGAUUUUUUAUUGGAAGUCAUCACAUUAUGAUAGCACCUAUAAAGUUAAUGAGUAGCAGGGUAAAGUAACAGGGAUGAAGUUGUUUACUCUCUGGUCAAAUACAAGAGCUAGGGGACAUCAAUAAAACUGGUAGAAAUCAUGUUCCUGAGAAGAGACCGCUGCACACAGUGUGCAGCUAAACCUUGAAGCUUCUCAAGGAACUCACUUUAAUUACUUUCACGAAGGAAAUAUUAUGUGUGACUUGUUUGUAGUUUAUAAAUACUUAUGCAAGUGCAGAAGCAUGAGGAUAAAGGGCAAAUAGGAACCAGUGGCCAGGACUGAAGCAGGACA